GUGCUCUCUUCAGCAGCACAUGUACUCAAACUGGAACAAGACCAAGAAGACUCGCAUGCUCCCUUGCACAGAUGUCAUGCAAAUGUGUGAAGUGUUCUAUAUUUUU
ensembl:snRNA U6 U6 spliceosomal RNA